AAACUAAACCCUUUUUGAAAAAAAAGGAUUCUGGCUGUUUUCGUAAGCGCUGAAUAAGUUGCUUUUUGUUGCUGUUAUUUUGCCGCCAAAAGCCUGAGUGCGCGCUAGUUUACCACCAAAACAGUCACGUAAUCUCUAAGCGCAAGUCCCCUAUUUGCCUGUGAAGACUGCGACUUCUAUCUUAUGCAAAAGAAAAAUCACUGUCGAGUUACCUGUACAAGAGGCGAUGACUUGUUAACUUCAGUCCUUAAUAUUCCGCAACUCAUCAACGAUUACUAACUCCUAAAUCGCCUGUUUGCUUUAAUUGGCUGACACUUAAUCUGCUUUCCGAGCAAGCCAUCUUACUGUAAGGAAGAUGCCAAUAUAUACAAGACAAGGUGUAUUUCCGUUUAUUUUAGGCGGUGAAGCACAGGGAUGAUUGUCGACUUGCCAUUCUUCCGUGCAAAUUCAGCGAUAUCGGCUGCACGUUUGAAGGUCGUCAGGAUGCACGCGAGUAUCACUGUGAGAGCGCCGUUCAGACUCGUCUGGGUAUCGCUUGUUAGACGAUCCGUGACAAUACGAGACAAAUAGAAACUCUAAAUGAAAAAGUCAACACUGCCAAUCAGACGAUCCGUAAAAACAAGAUAGAAAUAGAAACUCUAAAUGAAAGGGUCAACACUGCCAAUCAGACGAUCCGAGACAAAACGAUACAAAUAGAUUUCCACAGACAAUGACUCGAUACUGCCAACCAGACGAUUCGUAGCAA